rnacentral:rRNA from 1 species
CAGUAGCCGCGGUAAUACGGAGGGUGCAAGCGUUAAUCGGAAUUACUGGGCGUAAAGCGCACGCAGGCGGUUUGUUAAGUCAGAUGUGAAAUCCCCGAGCUUAACUUGGGAACUGCAUUUGAAACUGGCAAGCUAGAGUCUUGUAGAGGGGGGUAGAAUUCCAGGUGUAGCGGUGAAAUGCGUAGAGAUCUGGAGGAACACCGGUGGCGAAGGCGGCCCCCUGGACGAAGACUGACGCUCAGGUACGAAAGCGUGGGGAGCAAACAGGAUUAGAUACCCCGGUAGUCCCUGUCUCUUAUAC